UAUCAUUUAUCUGGGAUUAGUUUGUUUUGAAAACAAAUAAGAAGUGUUCAAUUCGCUUAAUGAUAU
rnacentral:tRNA from 1 species